CCUACGGGAGGCAGCAGUGAGGAAUAUUGGUCAAUGGCCGGAAGGCUGAACCAGCCAUGCCGCGUGAAGGUCAGUGCCCUAUGGGCGUUAAACUUCUUUUGUGCGGGAGCAAUAAUGGUCACGUGUGGCCAGACGAGAGUACCGUACGAAUAAGCAUCGGCUAACUCCGUGCCAGCAGCCGCGGUAAUACGGGGGAUGCAAGCGUUAGCCGGAUUUAUUGGGUUUAAAGGGUGCGUAGGCUGUGAGGUAAGUCAGCGGUGAAAUGCCCCAGCUCAACGGGGUGAAGUGCCAUUGAUACUGCCUUGCUGGAAUGCGGAUGCCGUGGGAGGAAUGUGUGGUGUAGCGGUGACAUGCAUAGAUAUCACACAGAACACCGAUUGCGAAGGCAUCUAACGAAUCCGCGAUUGACGCUGAUGCACGAAAGCGUGGGUAUCAAACAGGAUUAGAUACCCUAGUAGUC
rnacentral:rRNA from 1 species